CUUAAAAAAAUUAAAGUAUAGUCAAUUUACAAUUUGGUGCCAAUUUCUGCUGUACAGCAAAGUGACUCAGGCAUACAUAUAUAUCCAUUCUUUUUUAUAUUCUUUUCCAUCAUGAUCUAUCCCAGAAACUGGAUACAGUUCCCUUUGCUAUAUAGCAGGACCUCACUGCUUAUCCAUUCGAAAGGUAAUGGUUUGCAUUUACUAACCCCAAACUCCCAAGUCUGUUUUCUAGGCCUGUGAGUCACAACAGACAUUUCUUCACCAAAUGUCAUCAAGGACUAGCUGUCUACCAGCAUGAAAGGGAGAAGGGGAUUAUUCCAGGGGCACUAUUCCAGCCUCCCCUCCCCUCACAGAGCCCCUGCAGGAGGUGUCACCAUACCAGCAUCUACAGCUCAUUUAAUAAGGUCUCAACCCACAGGCUCUGGGGCACUAGCUGCCAGGCCACUUUUGGGCCUACAAUAUAUAUUCUGCAGGUCGGAAUUCCAGUUUCCUACUGUUCUUAACUAUAUUUAAUCUUAGGAAGAGCCACUGACAAAUCUCUGAGCGAGGGGACAGUGCACGUAUCCCUGGAAUUACAGACAUGCUGCCAAAUUGCAUGCCAACCUUUCUACCAUAUUCUUUGGGGGUUCAUAACUAGAAGAGCAUCCUCGGCCAGCAGCUGGAGGGAUAUUACAGUUUGGAUAGAACCCAAUUACUGUGCAUCCUUCUUAAUUAAUGUGAUUAUCAAAGGAAUCUAUUAAAAUUGUGCUCUAAUUAAUUGUAUGCAAUUAAGAUUUUAAAGUAUAAAUUCAGUGAUUAUUAUUUCAUAUUAUUAGGUGGGAUGCUGUUAUUUUCUCAAAAAAACAGUUCUGGAACAGACAGAUGGUGAUAGGAUACCUAAAUUAGGCAGAGAGAAAGAUUGGAAAACUAUGGAUGAUUGUUUUAGUUCAUUUUCUGGAUAGUUACUUCCACUAAGGGCCAGAAAAAAAUUAAAUGUGAUUCUAUAGUACUACAGAAUGGAUGAUGUCUUUUAAAAAUCUAUAGCGUAAUAAUACAAACUUAUGGAGGGGCAAGGAAGAGAAGCAUUUCAUUUAAAAAAUUGGAAAAUAUAAAUGAAAUGGUCUCCUUUUACUUCUGCAAAUUUUCUAGCAGAUCCUCUAUUUUGACAUGAAUCCGAAACAGUGAACUCUGAGAAAACAAGAAGUAAUACAAGUUAGAUGUCUUCACGUUGAGGAGCAUAAUAUGCUUUCUCAUUUUGUGUAGUUGCCUGACUGUGUUCUCCUCUUACAACAAUGCAUGGGGAAACACAGGGGCCUGCAGACACUCUGGAAGGUUGACUCAUUGCUAUUUCAUAUACUCCUACUGAGGUCAUCAGAAGAGCAUGGGAUAUUCACACUGCCCCGUCCCCAGACAAAGAAAAUAUGACAUGAACAUUUUAAUCCAAAGAAGACAGUACAUUUUUGCUUCACGCUGCAUCACCAAGCAACAGCUAUUGUACUUUAUUUUGGUAAAUAUUCUGAAGGCACAUUCAGUCCCUCAGCGCUAAUAAGGUUGGGCCAAGUCAGUUCUUAGAGAUGUGUUGACAGAAUGAAGAAUAAAAAAUCUGCAUGUUCAUCACUACACAUGUGUAUGUGUGGGUGUGUCUAUAGUCAAAGAUAUAGUCAGAGUAAUCUAUAAAAAGUAAUAUAUAUGUAUAGUAUAUAUUAUACAUAUUAAUAUUCUUAGAAAGAAAAAUCUAGGAUAAACCCUCCUAUUCAUAGACAUAAUUUGCCCCCUACCCCGCUCCCUACAAAGAGAUGAUACUUCAUGGAUUUAAUGUAAUGAUGAAAGGCUAUUUGUUGAUAAAUUCUAUUCUACAUAGUCUAACAGUCACUGACUCUACCCUUACUUUACAUAUCACAGUGUCUGUACUGAGGUGUCAAAUAUGAAGAAGAAACAAGGCAUCUGCACAUAACUUUCCUUUCCUCCUAACCAGCAAGGGCUCUCUUUCUUGAGUCUCCAGGAAAGGGAACAUGUGUCAUGGAGAAGAUCUGAGGCCUCAUGGACCCUGGGCCCUAGGAGAGGCAGAUGCAAAAGCAGCUGGAGGACUCCUGCAUCCAACUCAGCUGAGAUCCCAGCCCCAGGGCCCCCGCCCAGACCUUUGAACAAGCCGACGUGAAUCUCUGGCAGCAGCCGGAUGAGUGAACGCUUCAUGUCACGCGCCUCGUGCCCAGGUUUGGAGACAGACAUCCAUUUGGAUAAUCCUGGCAGAGACUCAAACUUUUAGCAGAGACACUUGAUGCAUAGAAUACUUGGCAUCGUGACCACACAGAGAUCCAUCUGUCAUGGUGGCAUGCUGCCUAGUCCCACUUGGUUGGAUCUUUCCAGUCACCUCCAGGUGCCAGGCGGGAGUGGGUCGUCAUGGGGGGCAUGUAUAAAACUGCAAGUGCCAUGGGUUCUACAGGAAGCUCUUCUUUUCUGCCCACCCCACACCGCCCUGCUCCUGGCCUGGUUCUUUGUCAUCUUCACACCUGUUGACAGUUGUUCAUCGAAAAGACAAGACGUGCCCUGGAAAGUCCCAGCCAGCCCUUCAAAUCCUGUCCUGAUGCCAAGAAGACAGGUGGAUCUGCAGCGGGUGUCUGAUGAAGUCAGGAAGAUAACUCAGGGCAUAAAAAUGUUUUUAUAAAAGAAAGUCGAGUAUUCUCCAUGGGAAGACUUUGAGGUAGCCCUGUAUUUGACCACAACUAUGAAACGCAGGAGAAUGUUCACUCAUUAGGAUAUAAGAUCCUGGGCUCAUAGCAAAAUGAGAACUUGUCUGGGGGGAGGGAAGAAUAGGGAGGAUGGGAAUAACUCACAUACGCUAUUGUAUAAGAUAGAUGAUUAAUGAGAACCUACUGUAGAGCACAGCGAAAUCUACUCAAUAUUUGGUAAUAACCUUGAUGGGAAAAAAGAAUGGAUAGUGUAUACACAUAACUGAUUCACUAUGCUGUAUACCUGCAACCAAUAAAACAUUGUCAGUCAACCAUUAAUAAUUUUUUUUAAUGAGAACUUAUUUUCAACACCACAGAAAUAGUUGGAGUUGUUUACAGGCAACUAAUAAUCAUGGCACAACUCUUUGAACAGAGAAUCACAGUGACAGAAUCAGCAGGCACUGGGACCCAUAACAUAGUGCUCACUUACUUUAGUCAACUGCUUGUCAGUGAAUAUUAUUUUGCAAUUUGUAAGGUCCAUUUGCUUUCUUACUCAUUGAGAUAUGAAGGCUAAAGAAAACUGUCUAUAAAAAGCAAGUGCAUGUGGAACACAGAUGCUGCCCCAUCCAAUAACGACAACAACAAAAAAAUUUGCAGAGAUAAGAAGCCAGAAUUCUGAAUAUCAGAUUAUCCUACCUUGGAAAUUCUGUAGUAAUUACCUCUCGGGAAGAUACUUUAUAGAAAGAGUCUAAUGUUCUUCUUUGUAGACAAGUCGAAGCAAGUCUUCUAAAGCAACAUAGCUUAGGGGACACUGUGACCCAAAAAAGGCUCCCACGUUGAAAUUUUUGCAAUGUUAAUCUACUAUUGGAAUCUGGAAUUUUAACUGAAUGCUAGACUAAUCAUGAAAGUAAAGAAUGCAUUUAUGUGUACAUCCCCAUCCCUUUCCUAAGAAAGGUUUGAGUAGUGAUGCAUAUUAAGCAGGGAGUUAGGAAAUGGGUAAUGAACCAAGGUGAAGGCAAAGAAGAACAGGGGAGGAUCCCAUGUGAGAAUAAGCACUGGACAUUGUAACACCUCAGCUCAAAGGAACAACGAAAUUUUGUUCUGAGAUUUCCAGCCAAAAAAGAAGGAAAAAGACAAUAAGCUGUAUGGUUUGCAAAGCUCACAAGCACAGACAUAGUUCUUGGGGGCAGCCCACAUGGUGGGGACCUUGGGAGGGCUGGUGUUACCCACCCCCACAUACACCUCCGCAAUAGUGCAUUUAACCAAAAACUCAGAUUAUUUUACUUUUGAAAGAAAUCAAAAUACAUUGUAAUUUAAUGAAAACUAUAAUUCAGAAAUAAUCUCUUGACUCAAUAAUAAUAACAACAGCAAUGAUAAUAAUAAUAAUUAUGCCAAUUUAUGUAUCUUGAGAACCAAAAUUUAGCUGUAAAUGCCACAUUCCUCUUUUUGCUAUGCAAACUUCAUUGGUUCUUGGGCUUCAGCAGAAAUAAAUGUACUGAUAAUUUUGGAACAUUAGCAAUGUGGCAUUUACAUCUAAAUUAUGGCAAAAACUCAUUGAGACUCAACUCAUAUUAUCUAUGAGCCAUUCAAUGGUAUUUCAAGCAUGGCAUCAUUUAUUCUGUUAGAAGCAGUGAAAGUUUAUGUCAGCUUCAUGUCAUCCCUAAAGCAGUGUCAUAAUAUGACAUGAUUCAACAGCAAUACUCCUAAUAUUUUGUAUCAACAAUAUAUGUAGGGAUAAAAAUAACAGGAAAUGACAAAAAGAAAGUGAAAUCCAGAUAAAAUGAAGUCAUUUAUGGGAGUUCCCAUUGUGGUACAGUGGAAAUGAACCCGAUUAGUAUCCAUGAGGAUGCAGGUUCAAUUCCUGGCCUCACUCAGUGGGUUGGGGAUCUGGCAUUGCCCUGAGCUGUGGUGUAGGUUGCAGAUGCGGCUUGGAUCUGAUGUGGUGUAGGCCGGCAACUGUAGCUCCAAUUCGACCCCUAACCUGGGAAACUUCAUAUGGCACGGGUGCGGCCCUAAAAAGCAAAAAAAUAAAAUAAAUAAAAUAAAAUAAAAUAGUACAGUCUGAGUGACUGUCCAGUAGCACCACCUGAUUUUCAAAUUCUUGAUCAUCCUAUUGUACAUCAACCUGUGUUCUUUGUUUCCAUGGUCGGUCCUCCAUUACUACAGAGUCUGAAGGGAGGCAACCAGAAAUAUCCAGAGUCACAAAGGUAUUUCCU
rnacentral:lncRNA from 1 species